GCCAGUGAUGAUGGUUUUGGUUGACAGAAAGCAAAUCUAUGUAUUUGCGAAAUGUCGAAACUUUAUGAACUAGGACGGUCUGAGGC